GAUGAACGCUGGCGGCGUGCCUAAUACAUGCAAGUCGAGCGAACAGAUAAGGAGCUUGCUCCUUUGACGUUAGCGGCGGACGGGUGAGUAACACGUGGAUAACCUACCUAUAAGACUGGGAUAACUUCGGGAAACAGGAGCUAAUACCGGAUAACAUAUUGAACCGCAUGGUUCAAUAGUGAAAGGCGGCUUUGCUGCCACUUAUAGAUGGAUCCGCGCCGUAUUAGCUAGUUGGUAAGGUAACGGCUUACCAAGGCAACGAUACGUAGCCGACCUGAGAGGGUGAUCGGCCACACUGGAACUGAGACACGGUCCAGACUCCUACGGGAGGCAGCAGUAGGGAAUCUUCCGCAAUGGGCGAAAGCCUGACGGAGCAACGCCGCGUGAGUGAUGAAGGUCUUCGGAUCGUAAAACUCUGUUAUCAGGGAAGAACAAAUGUGUAAGUAACUGUGCACAUCUUGACGGUACCUGAUCAGAAAGCCACGGCUAACUACGUG
rnacentral:rRNA from 1 species